CGCACAGAUGCUGAUGAGAGGAUGCAGUAGAGAAUAGCGGAAAUGGAAGUAACAAUCAAGGUGGAGUAGAUCAAGAAAUGGAUGAUGAAGACGAUGAAGAACUAGACCUUACUUGAAAUGACUUUUUUAUUGUUAUAGAUGAACGUUCUAGGAAUCUUUUUUUACCAACAUUUUUGAAACUUAUUUACUCUUUUGAAAUGUACUAAACUUAUGCACUCAUGGCUUUAUGGAUAAUUUUGUAUUAUUAAUAGUUUCAUUUUAUGAUGUAUUCAAAUUUUA